UAAUGUGUUGAAAUGAUUUACAAAGAAAAGAAUCGAAAGGAAUCACAGGAAAUUGAUGGGAGAGGCCAAACUACUUUUGUCAAGACCUGUUAGGUGCUAAAGCGCCGAGAAAAUUGGGCAAACACGGCUCUGUUGUGCAUGGUGCAUGUAUAGGAUGUUGUCCAAGUGUCCAUUGGCACCGAGAUAAGAUCCCCUAGCAUGCUACAUAUGCACAACACGCCGCGUAAAGACCCACAGGUUCUACGAGGCUCCUAGGCAUUGAGAGAGCCUGGACUGGCACUGUCUGUGUUAUGAGAGAAGAUGCGCGUAAAAGCGAGUGGGAUCCGUGUCUGGGGGCUUAAAAGUGGCAGUAUCGAAUCCCCUUGGCAUGUUGCUACGUCGUAGCAGGGCCCAAAGUGUUAUGCAACUCUGUCAAGUGUUAGGCACUGAGAGGGCCAAGAGGGAAAAACAUUUUCUAUAUCGUGCGAGCAUGGGAAAAAUCCCCCUUCCGCGAGCUGUACUCCAGCUCCCUUACAGUUGAAUUAGAU
rnacentral:lncRNA from 1 species